GGGUCGUGCGCCUACGUGGUUCGCUUAGAUACGGCGAGGACGCUUCUGCGCGCAGGGAGUUCGACGCGAGCCAUUCUACAGCUGGCCUCGCGAGCGACAGUCGCACGGGGCGACGUGGACUGUUGACGGUUACGACUGAGGCGGCUGGAGGGAGGCGAAGACGGCGGCGUCGGGGUCGGCGGCAGCGGCGGCGGCAGCGGUCCGGUUAUCUCAGUGGAUCCCAGAGUAGAGACGUAACGGUUCCUGAGGAAACGGUCCCCGACUCAGUUGUUUGAGGGUGAAUCUUCACUGUAGCCUCCAAAGUGUCUUAAAGGUGCUUGUGUUCCCUGGUUAGGAUGCCAUAACUUCGUUUUGGUCAACUGUGAAGAAGUGAAUUGUGGCUUCUCCAAUCUUUCUUCCCUUGAUCACAUUUUCAGCACGAGAUAUUGGGUAAUAUCCUAUUCUGUAGAACUUGUAUUGAAAUAGGUUUACCUUGGGAUUUUAAAAAGGUUGGGAAAUACUGUUGCUCUCAAAAACUUUAGUAGUGCAGAGCAGGGGCCUGUGUGAAGGUUGCUUUUGACCUGUAGGUGGCGACUGGUGGGCAGGAAUUUUGCUGGUAAUUUUCAGAUUGUGGAAAUAUAACUGAGAAGCAAAACACUGGCAACUUCAUGAUAUGCAUUUCCCACAAAUAAUACUCUGAUUAUUCAGUGAUUGAGGCAAAAGUAUGGAAGAUACUCAGCCACAUUCCUUUAAUUCCCUGAUAGCUUUUUUUUUUUUCAUGAGAAGAGAAAGCAGUGAGUCUUCUUCAAUAGAAUUGUUUAUUAAUCCAAGAUAUAAAGCAGUAUUCCUGGUGGAGGUGUCUGGAGAGAAGUGUUCUUCAACAAAAAUGUUCCUGGUGAAAAAGGGGCAAAAGACCAAAAUACUGGUCAGAUAGGUCUACUGACUGCUCUGUGCAGAUUUUUAA